rfam:Apaloderma vittatum contig21566, whole genome shotgun sequence.
GGCCAGUUAGCUCAUUCAGUUGAGCGUGGUGCUAACAACGCUAAGGUCGCGGGUUCGAUUCCCAUUCAGUCCC